GUACACGCUGUGACUAGCAUAUCAAUAAGCGGAGGAAAAGAAACUAACAAGGAUUCCCCUAGUAACGGCGAGUGAAGCGGGAAGAGCUCAAAUUUGAAAUCUUAAAGGGUUUCCCUUUACGAAUUGUAGUUUAAAGAAGUGUUUUCUGUUGAGGUUUUGGUAAAAGUUCUUUGGAAUAGGACAUCAUAGAGGGUGAGAAUCCCGUAUUUGACCUUUACUUUCAACUUUGUGAUACACUUUCAAGGAGUCGGAUUGUUUGGGAAUGCAGUCCAAAAUGGGUGGUAAAUUUCAUCUAAAGCUAAAUAUUGGCGAGAGACCGAUAGCGAACAAGUACCGUGAGGGAAAGAUGAAAAGAACUUUGAAAAGAGAGUUGAACAGUACGUGAAAUUGUCAAAAGGGAAGCGUUUGACACCAGUGUUGUUUUUCUGAAAAUCAAUUAAAGAACUGUUUAUGCUAAGUUGUUUAGACUCUAUCAGCUGACUGUUUAGUUUUGAGCUUUUCUUUAAUGCACUUUUCAGUUAACAAGUCAACAUCAAUUUCUUUUGCUGUAAAAAAGCUUGAGGAAGGUGGCUUGAGAUUCGUCUUAAGUGUUUAUAGCCUCUUGCCUAUGCAGUCGGAGAGAUUGAGGUCUGCAGCGUAGAUCCUUCGGGGCUAAAUGCAUUUGUGCUAAGUUAUAGCAUUUUAUAGACAACUUGUUGACUAUGAUUUGUCUUGUAGCUUACUCGCUUAUGUUAUUUUACCUACGCUUAGGAUGUUGACGCGCGUGUGUGCGUG
rnacentral:rRNA from 1 species